rnacentral:misc_RNA from 1 species
GAUGAAGAACGCAGCGAAAUGCGAUAAGUAGUGUGAAUUGCAGAAUUCAGUGAAUCAUCGAAUCUUUGAACGCACAUUGCGCCCCCUGGUAUUCCGGGGGGCAUGCCUGUCCGAGCGUCAUUACAACCCUCAAGCUCAGCUUGGUGUUGGGCCCCGCCGCCCCGGCGGGCCCUAAAGUCAGUGGCGGUGCCGUCCGGCUCCGAGCGUAGUAAUUCUUCUCGCUCUGGAGGUCCGGUCGUGUGCUCGCCAGCAACCCCCAAUUUUUUUCAGGUUGACCUCGGAUCAGGUAGGGAUACCCGCUGAACUUAAGCAUAUCAAUAAGCGAGGA